GGCACUUUGGCCGAGUGGUCUAAGGCGCCGUGUUCAGGUGAGGUCACUCAGUGAUCCGUCUCUUCGCGGUCUAGUAAUAGGCGAGGGUUCGAAUCCCUCAGGUGUCA
rnacentral:tRNA from 1 species